UACGUAGGGGGCAAGCGUUGUCCGGAUUUAUUGGGCGUAAAGAGCGUGUAGGCGGUCAGGUAGGUCCGUUGUGAAAACUCGAGGCUCAACCUCGAGACGCCGAUGGAAACCAUCUGACUAGAGUCCGGAAGAGGAGAGUGGAAUUCCUGGUGUAGCGGUGAAAUGCGCAGAUAUCAGGAGGAACACCGGUGGCGAAGGCGGAUCUCUGGGCCUUACCUGACGCUCAGGUGCGAAAGCUAGGGGAGCGAAUAGG
rnacentral:rRNA from 1 species